GGUCUUUUAGUUUAAUAAAAAUUUUAAAUUGCAAGUUUAAAGAUGCUUUAGGUCAAGACUU
rnacentral:tRNA from 1 species